GGCUGGUUCGCCUCUUCUCCUCCGUCCCCAGAUCGUCCUCCACCUGCGCCGCUGCGCUUGCUCCGCCUGCAACGCAUAGUACCAGAGCAGUAUGAACAGGGGAAGUAGCCGUGGAGAAUCAAAAGGGCACCAGGCUCAUCUUCAGAAUCAAAAGAAAGGUUCUCCUUCCGUUUCGAACAGCAGGCCCAACAUCCGGAUCGGAAGAACGGUUCUACUACACGAGUUAAUUGUAUCUCCUGCCGCCGUAAUCAUGGAUUGAUGACCCUGCCGGAAUCUCUCUCCAAAGAUAGUCACAGUUCUUACUUCCAACCCCUCUCGCGAAACCCCGACGAUUGAUCUGGCAAGCGGUUUUGCUGCUGGCGGCGCAUUAUGGACGGGUAGCAACGGGAUGCCUUCU